CCCCUCUACUGGAAGACCUUUUUUAUUUUCUCUUGCUGCCUCCUGUGCUGGCAACGUCCUGCGAGUGUCUAUUUUGCUUUUGCACCGAGAGAAGAGCUUCCUCCCUCGCCCUCUCUUCUAACACUUAUGGAUGAAAUCAACACUGAUGUCUAACCUGUAAUGAGUGCCAAUGUUUUGACCUUUCAAUAGAGAGCUGAUUUUGGAGAACGGCUUACUCCUGUGAUUGAAAAACCUCUCUGGAAGGUUGAUGGAGCAUGAGCAUGGUAUAUAUUAUAUUAACAUUUCUCUUAUUACAUAUGUUCUUUAUUUUAAAAAUGUACACAGUAGUAUAACUUAUUCAGAGUAUUCAAAAUAGGCCAGUUCUAAUGGGAUUGUUCAAGAAUUUAUUAUUUGUUAAAAUAAUUCUUCUUUACACUCCUCCUGUAAAAUUAUAAAGCACUAAGUAAAAGUAUUAACACAGGCUGUGCUCAGAAGGAAAUGAAGUGGCCAAAAAUAUGUAUAAAAAGCUGAGUUUGCAACAGCCAUGAUCCAUUUGAGCUAUAUAAAUUCUCCAUAUAGUAUUGUUCUCAUAUUCCUUCUUGGGAAUUACUCCAACUGAAAUGUUGCUAAUCCAAAAACAAAGUAUGGAUGAUAAAAAAAAAAUUUCAAUAACUUUAUUUUUUUUGUUGGGAGGGUGUGUUAUGGAAUAGAAUAGAGAGCUAGCUGAGUGUAUUUCCAUGUGGUGUGUAAAAUUUGGUUUUAAAGGCAUUAAUGAACUAGCUACCUGACAAGCAGAGAAGCAGAAAACAGAAAAAAAGAACAGGCUUUCAGAGACUUCCAUCUGUACCAGAAUAUUCAGAAAUUUUAUUUAUCUUAUUUGUUGCCAAACAGAUACUAUAUAGCAAAACACUGAAAAAUUUAGAGGAAUUAAUAUGGACUGUGCUACACUCAUAUUGCAAGUCCUGCUUUGCACUAAAAGUGCUCAUUUGGCUGAAACUGAGAAAUCCAUUCAGAGUAAUCAUAACCCAUCUACUCAUAUACGAAUAGUCUUAACUAACUAUUUACACAGACAAUUGAAAUUAAAAUAGUAACUGGUCUUGGAUUGAGUAAAUUUGUUUAAAUACAAAAUGCAACAGUAAAAUCUGUAAGACUUUAUCUUCAGCAGAACAUAUUGCAGUACAACAAAUUUUAUGAACAUGUUGUGACUUUAGCAAUUCCAACUUUCAGCUGGAAUUCAGUUUUUAUUCUUAAUCAAAUCUGUCUGUCUUCAAGAACACUUUUUCUUUGUAGGAAGUAAUUGUACCUUAAAAGCAGAGGAGUUUUAAAAACCCAAAAUUUCAGUUUAUCCCAGUAACUCCUAAUUUCUACCAAGCAAAUCCAGUGAGGUGUAAAUUUCAUAUUUCCUCAUUGUUGUAAGUAAUGGCUGGUAGAACUGAAGAAUUGCUGGAAUUUACCAGCAGUACACCUCCUGUUACAGAAGUAUUUGAGGCAGAUGGGUUCUGAAUAUAUUUUUCAUACAGUACUAUGGUUUUAGAGUAGUUAAGGCCUCCUACAGAAAAUUCUUAGUUGAGUAAGAAAAUUUUGAAUACCGAAAGUAUAGGAAGUAAACCUUAACUUUAUAGAAGCUUUGAAGUUUGUGAUUAGUGAGUAGGUAGUUCUUUCAGUUUUAAUCCUUUCUUUAUGUGAUUAAACACACAGUGAAAGUACUUCUAUUAAUGCUGUAACUGUGUUUGGUUAACAUGCCUAAUAUGCUCCCAAAUAAAUAAAUAUUUCGAUCUGUCCAGAAACUGCUUUGGAGGUACUGCAUUGCUGUUGUUUGUUUCUUAUUUUCUUUUUUUUUCCCUUUUUUUUUUCCUCUUUUUCUACUAGCUUUCUUAGGAAAAUAAGGAUUUUAGGAUUUCAUUGAACAGUUUGAGUUUGUUCUUUUUUUUUUUUCCUUUACAAAAGCAGUUACAUUCUUGUUAAUGAAAAUCGGGAUUAUAUUGCAAGGCAAAGGUAUCUAAGGCUCCCUUGUGAGAUAUUUAAAAGGUGAAAGUUUGAUGGAGUGUUCCUUGGUCUGACACAGGUUCAGAGUAUUUCUCAUAGAUUCUUAUUCAGCAAAAAAGGUGGUUUCUGGUUCACAACUGUAAAUCAAAGGGAUUUUACAUUUAGGGCCUAAUCCUACAAACUUUAAUAUACACAAGCAGUUCUAAUGACUCACGACCAUGAGUAAGGAUUUGCAGAAUGGUAUUCUCAUUAGAUGCACACUUUCUUUCCUUUUACAAAUUUAAUAUAUAUUAAAGUAUUUAAAACUUUAAGACAAGUCUAAAUGUUUUUUUAGAAAGUGCAAAGAGUUUUGCAGUAAUGUUGUAAUUGAGUCUUUCCCAUUUACAGGGUCUAGUAUCUUUUAAGAGUGCUGCAGUUGUCAGUUAUGAUUAGAGUCUUCUUAAGAUGUUGAUUUGCUCUAGAAUAUUUUUGUGCUGAAUUUUGGCCCAUAUUAAUUUUUUUUUUCUAGAGCUAUUUUGUACUCUGUAGUCAAUAUGAAUGUUUCUUGACCUGAAUAGUAGGUGAAACUUGCAAGAAAGGUGGUGGGGUGUGUUGGUUUUAUUUUCCUACUCCUAGCCUCUCCUGUUGUUGUUCUUAUUUAGCAAAACAACUGCUGAUUUUGUUGGAAGUUCAGCAUGAAUUAAGGGCCUGCAGUGCUUGCCCCUUAAAAAUUGCUGGUGUGGCUAUUGCAAGCUGUGUGCUUGACUUUGUAAACUGUUUUGCAAUAUCUAAUUGUAAUGAGAUUGAAAAGAUAAAAAUGUGCAGACUUCUUUACUGAAGACUUUACAGACUUCUUUGCUUCAGAUGUGGAACUUUUCAUGGCUGCUUCUACUGUUCCUACUGUAGGUAGAACACUUGAGGCUCUACAAGUCUUGUUAACUAAAUCAUAAUUUGAAAGCUGACAAUGCAUGCUUGUUGCUCGUCCAAAAUGAACUGUUGCAGAUUACUUUUACAAAUCGUUUAUGAUUUCUUUAAGGACUUCUCUUGCUUAGCAAAGGCAACUGAAAUAAUUUUCCUGAAAGAGAUCUGUAGCUAUAAAUGCAACCCAUUCCUAGUUACUGCAAGACAUGUAAAAUCAACCAUUGUUUAAUAUCUUAGGCAUGACUAUUUUAAGUGUUAAAUCUGAAGCAACUGAAUUUUCUGGAUUUUGUUAGUUUAAACUAAAUCCAGCCCUACAUAAUUUUAAAAUGGAGUUUUGUAGACUAUUAAAUUUAAAUAGACAAUAAUUUUUAUUAUUACUUCAGACACUCAAUGAAACAUGUAUAUAGGAAGAAUUUAAGACUGCCAUACUUACACAUCAUUUUUCCUUGUCUGUUGAUAAAAUGAUCUUGCUAGGCAAUAGGAAAAGAAAAGCAAAUGGCAUGAAAAUUCUCUAGGAAAAAUAGUUAAGAUAUGCUAACUGGGACAUUUAAAUGCUUAUUCUUCUCACUCAAAUGUAAAUAUAUAUAAGUAAGGCAUUGCCCCCUUUUUAUUUUUAUUUUUGUCUAAUUUCAACAGAAGUCUAAGGAGGAAUUUAUGUAGACCUAUACAUUGAAAGUUUCAGUGGGGGAAUGAGAAUGUAAUCAAAAUUGUUAAGUGUUCAUAUGGUGUAUUGAUGGCUUCUCAAUACACCUUGGUUUAGACUGCUGUUUGCACACUAAAAACAGGGCAUGUACGAAAAUGCAAUUGCUAAUUGAGUAGAGUGUUUGAAUAAACAAUUGUUUCUAGCUUUGCUAAUUUUGUAUUUCUUUCAAACACAUGGAUAUUCAUGGUAAUUUUUUUUUCUGUUUGUUUGGGGCAGGACUUUUUUUGUUAUUCUAAAUUUUUAGACCAGUAUUAUAAGAGAAUUAGUUCUUUUUAUUGAAAUACAUUAUCAAGAUAAUCUAGUCAAAGCAAGAUAUCAGCAAUAUCUGUUUUUAAUUUGUGAGGUACUUAAAAAUCUUAGUAAUGUGCAAAUACCUCUGAAGUAUUUAUAUCUUUUCUUUAACCCACUAAAUUUUAAGAGCUUGGUUUUUACUUCCUGUGAGUGUCCUAUGGGUUUUUUUUUGUUUGGUUGGUUUUUUUGUUUGUUUUGUGGAUGGUUUGGGUUGUUACUGUAUUGGUUUUUUUUGAAGCAUUUAGUCAAAGAUUUUUGUGAUUUUGUACUUCCACUUCUUAGUUGAUGUGAAGAACAAUUUAAAUUUUUUUUAAAAUUUUUUUAACUGCCCUUUCUCCCCACAGAACGAAAUAGAUAUUAGUAUUCAUAUAGAAAUUAACUUAAACACUUAGAAAGUAUUGUAAUUAUGAACAUGAUUAUGAUCUUCCCAAUUUUAUCUGAUCAUUUCCUACUUCAAAAUAGACAUAUAAGUCACUUCUAGACAUAUAAGUCACUUCUAGAUUUAGCAGGACUUCCAGUGGAUCUGAUAGAUGAAAACAUUUGCUUUGUAAUUUCUGUAUUCAUUUGGAGCAAAAUUUUCUCUUGGUAGAAUGGGUAGGUACUGUGGUCUUAUGAAUGCUAUCACUUUAUUCUGAAAAUACCUCGCUUUCUCUUGUUGAAAGUUAGUCCAUAUUUUAGUCAAGCUCAAAAAUUAGCCAAAGAAGAUGCUCCAUCUGUUAUGAAACAUUGCAAUGGCUCUUAUAAGAUAGUACUUCUCUGAGUGAAAAUAUAUUGAAAAGUUUAUUGUUGAACUCUGUGGAACAGAGUUAGUUCCCUUUUGAUAUUGUAACACUUAUUGUCAGCAUUUUCCACAGGCAAAAAGAACCCCUGAUCAAAAAGAGUGAUUAUGUACUGGUUACCCUGUCCCUCUGCUCCCUAAAACCAAAAGAUUUUUUCCAAGUUCUCAGGAAAAGGGAAAAUGCUGCUUUUAAUGCCAAGCACAGGAGUUAUAAAAGCAGCACUCAAAUCUGUACUUUUCUUCAUUGUGUUAACACUUAAUUCUAAAAAUAUUUUUUCAGCUCUGUCAGAGUGAGGGAUUGUAGUUCUGUAGGACCCCAGAGUAUUUUUUAAACAAAGGGUCAUAAGCUCAUCUUUAAUUCUAUGUGUGUGGAAAUCCAUAGCUUGUAUGACAUGCAAGUGUUACUAAUAUAUUCUCCAUACCUCUUUAAGUCCCAGAUUCGUGACCUCUCUAAACAAUUUGAGAGCAGAUAAAACAUGGUUUGAAAUAAAAUCAGGGAAAAAUGCUUGCCUUCUCUUCCUAGCAUUACCAGAUUUAAAAUCUGGAUCUCCAUGGUGCCUGUUUUGCAUCUGGGUUUAGGGUGUAACAAGGAAACUCUUGAAUUAGCAGUGAGAGAAUAAUUCCUUUCAGGGUAUUGGUGCUGCUAAACUGUGUUCUGUUGACACCAGCAACUCCUCUGUUUUUUUGAUCUUUUGAUCCUACCAUAAUGACAGUGAAUUUUGCUGUGAAUGUUGAGUAUUUGCUUCAGAAAUUGAUAUUUUUGUGAAACUGUAUAAGAAACUCACUGAAAUGUAAAAUACAAUGUUCAUAAGUUCUUUCAUAAAUCUGUUGUCCUUGAUUUUUUUUUGGCCAUUUAGGGAUAUAGAUUUCUUGUAUUUUUGGUGUGUAAUACUUACUCCUUGACCUCACAGUCUUCUGACCUGAAAACAAGUUUGAAACACUAUUCAGAUUUUUUUGUUUAAUUUUUUUAGCUUGAGAUAAGUUAUGUUGCUGACCCACCUUCUGUUAUUAAAAACCUGAACAGGAUUUGUCAUUGAGAUAGGAAUUAAUGAAGGCUAACACUAGAGGGCAAUUCAAAGCAGCAGCCUACCCCAGAACAGUUAUGGGUGCCUAUGGCCCUGAGAUGAAAAAGAGGGAGGCAAUGGAGACUUUCCCAGGGUCUCCCCCAGACAAAAGCUGUUCUUUGUGAUUACCCUCCUAAGUGGUUUGUUUAACUCACUUUUCAUAUCUUGGAGUGCUCCACUGAAUGAGAAAGAAGUUAAGACAGUUGUUAUGCUUUGCUGAAUUACAAGUUAAGAAACAUCUUCCACAGUGUCUUACCUCAUUCACUCUUGCCAUUGUAAAAAAGGCACAACUUUCUCGGUGGUGGGUUUUGUUUGGUUUUUGUUUGGUUUUUAUUUGUCAUGUGCUACAUCAAGCUCUUGAAAGAUACUGGGUUUUGGGGUGUAAGGUAACAUUGCAGAAAAGCUGAAAUGUCUUUUGUUAAGUACCAAGGAAAAUGGAAUAUAUGGUGAGUAAAAUAUUUUCUUACAAAAUACUGUAAAGUUAGUCAAAGUAAGAUGACAGUAUGAAUAAUUAAUUUCAUAUUAAAAAAAUACACAAAACCCAAACCGCACAAUAAACAGGAUAAGGUAUCAGAGAUGUACUUUGUGUCUCUAAUUUUAUCAAGUAAAAUAUAUUAUAUAGAAUGGGAAAAAAUAGUUUAGGAAAAGCAAUAAAGUGCUGUAUUUAAUAUUUAACCAAAUAGAAGAGAUCAUCUGUGUAUAUUGUACACAAUUUAAACAAUUUAUGUAACAGUGCAUUACAUAAUAAAUUACAGUUUUCACUGUUGCAAUGUUCAUUACAGAUUUACAGAACAUCUUAAAUACUUGUAAAUAAUAACCUGUAAUGCAAAUGAUGGUGUCGUGGUUCUUGAAAAGCACUCUAGUAUUCUUAUUUUAGCAAUGCAAAUUUUCUCAUUAUAUUGAAAUGUAUGCACCCAGCCGUGUAAAUGCUUGUGGCACAGUACAAAUUUGAAAACAAAGGGCAUUUUAUAUAAGAGUGUGUGUGUGAGGGUUUAUACCUGUCUUUCUAUCUAACUUCAUGUGCAUAUAUAUAUAAUAGCUUAUAUAUUUUGUGUACUUGUAUAUAAAAAAGCUGAUCUAUUAUUAAAUUGGUGUGUUUGUUUCUACACUAUGGAUCAGUUAGUCAAGUUGUAUUUUCUUGGCAUUAUUUUGCACAACUUACUGUUAAUAUCUAAAAUUUGCUUUAGCCGCAACAACUUUUCACGUUGUGUUUCUAUAAAGAAUAUUUACUUGCAAUCACUCUGGCAGUGCCACAGAUCAAUAUAAAUACUGCAGUGCAUUGUUGCAGUAAACAUUUACACCUGUUUUCAGCAGGUCUGAUCAGCAACUCUAGUGCAAUUUGAAAAUAUGUAAUCUGCUGGCAGUGAUGUGCCCAACCUUAACUGUUGCUGGUGCCUUUGAAAGAGAGCUAUUGUAUCAUAACACAGUAUAUAUAGUCCAACAAUGACUGGCCUUGAUUAGUCUGUCCAAGAAGAAAAUAGUUUUCUUGGUUCCUUAUUUGCAAAAUGCACAACAGGGGAAAAAAGGAGCAUGUGAAAUUUAGCCUAUGAAAUUGGUAGGUUCUCUGGGGUUUAGGGGAGAUUUUUGGUUUAACUGGGGGAGUGGGUUUGAGGAAUUAGUUGGCAGCCCUGUACAGUGAUACAGAGGUCUUAAUCACACACAUAAACUCUUGGUUUUGGAAUGUAUUUCUAUGAAUCCUGUCUGAUUCUAGGUGAGUAAACCAAGCAUGCAUGUAAGCAUUUAAGGAACUGAACCCUUAGUCUUUUGCAGGUAAGACACUACCAUUUUAAGAAUAAGUACUUUCAUGCCAAUAUGAAUUUCCUCUUUUUUUUUUCUUUUUUUUUUUCUUUUCCUUUUACCAGCUAGAUUUUUGGCCCUAAAUCAAAGAGAUAAUUUCUGUCAUUAUCAUUAAAGCUGUCUUCAGUAUUUUGUUUAUUUGAACAAAGCAAGAACAAAUGUUUCCAGUACAUUUUUUUUCAAAGAGCAUUUCUGACUUGUGUAUGUGAGCUGCUUCUGUGGAAUUUCAGUUUUGCAUCUUCAGAAUCCUUCUUCCUCAGCAGAGCUCUUGCUUUUAGGGACUCGGGAAAUGUGAUGGAGCUUCUUGCAUACUUGAUUCCCAGCUUUUAUUGAGGUCUUCUUUGUCAAUCUGUCUCUCAUCCACAGACUUAAAACACAAGGAUGGAGGUAGGAGAAGCACUCAUGGUAACAACUAUAUUGACUUUAUGACCAAAACAUAAUGGUAUACAGCUUUGUGCAGACAUUCCUGGAUUUCAGUAGAUUCCUGGCUCAGCUAUCAGUACACUUCUUAUCUUAGACUUCCUCCUUCCAUUCUUUUCCUGUUCCACAACCCCUUCUCUCACAUAGACUACCUUCAAUUUUAUGUGAUAAUGUGCUUAUUCUCCUUGCAGAUUAUAUCUAUUUUAAUAGCAGUGUAGAAAACAUACAGUCACAUUGUGUUGAAUUUUGGGUUGGUUGGUUUCUUUUGGGACAUUUUGUAGUAAAGUUAAAAAAAAAAACCAAACAACAACAACAAAACACCUUCCAAAAUCAUUAAAAAAAGGAAAAACUCAAAUAGUCUGGAAUCCUGUAAUGCAUGCAAGGUUUUGUGUUCAUGUUUUGUAUGGGUGGGUGGAAUUACCUGCAGAUUUUCUUACUAAUGUACUUUCUGUAGAAAAUAGCAUAAUGGUUCUGCCAAGUCUUUUUUUCAUGGAGUGUAUAGUUUAAUUUUAAAGGGAUUUAGUUAUGCAACAGGAAAAAGCCUCUCCAUACUUGAGCUAGAACCUGAAAUCAACCAGGCAAUUGAAAGAAUAGUAUCUGUUAAACACAUGGAGUCUCAAAUUAAGAAUUUGGCCUGAAUGUAAAAAUGACUUUAAGUCUUUUACGGUAAAUCUACAAGUACAAAACAAUAUUUUUCUUGCUAGAGAAUAUUUUUCAUACUCUUUUUCCAGAAAAGUUGAAAUAAAUCUUUUACUUCUGGCUAGCAUUUUUGCUCACAUCUAUCUUUAUCUAUGCCUUCCACAUUACACACACACAUAUGUGUGUGUGUGUGUAUUUAUAUAUAUAUAUAUAUACACAUAUAUAUAUGGUGGAGAUUUUGUCUUUACUUUUUCUUCUCUUGGUUUAUGCCUAGCACAGUUUCUUCAGGGGAGAGACCAACUGUCAGAGCAUACAUUUACAGUAUAGGUUUAUUUUGACUUUGCACUCCUGCUUUAAUUCACCAUGGUAAGUUGGGUAAGUUGUACCUAUUUAAUUUAGUUUGCCUAUUUUAGGUGUCUGAUUUUAAAAACAAACAUAGGUACUAAGAGGUGGGGUGGAGAUAAGUGUAAAUAGAGCUGUGCAUGUAUAAAAUUACUGGAAAUGGCUCUUUGAUGCAGUUCCUAAAGUUAGCAUUCCUAUCUGGAUAACCUAUAUAAAAAAUGUUGCUGCUGUUACAUGUAAAUUUACACUGGCAAUCUCACUUUAAUUGGCACAUUUGUGGCAAUGGACUCUUCCAGCAGAUCCUGCCCUGCUGUAUUACUGUAGGAACAAAAAUAGGAAGGGAGAAAAUAAAAUUCCCAACUCUUUCCCCCACGUGGCCUGCCAAAUUUCUUUUUGUGCUUGCAGAUAGCCCUGUUAAUUUCCAGGAGUUGUCUGUCAUGACCUGACUAGAAGGCUUAUUGCAAUGAAGUGGCGUGCUUGGGUCCAUGCUGUGUAAGUAGCUUUUGUCUUAACAGUUUAGUAUAAAAGCAUUGAAGAAAGCAUAAUUCUUGUUAUCUAGGGAACCAGUAAAAGGACUGCACACACUUAAGUCUCUGGCAUUCUUUAGUCUAAGAAAAUGAUACCUAGCAGCGCCGUGAACUCCUCAUCUCCUGCCUACAUCAAGUAAAGCAGCAUGGCCAAUUCUAGGCUGGGGGCAGAUGAACUCCUGCCCAUAAUAACAGAUAAGUUACUAUUCUUGCUAACAAUUGUUUUGGGUUAUAAUUUUUUUUCCCCCUCUGAAGUUAAUUAAGGCUCUUUUGAGUCUGCCCAAAAGUUGCAGUAAGGGUAAGCUGCAGAGCUAACAGAUGGCUUGAGGACUGACAGAAUAGUUCACAAAAGCUUAUUUUGAAAUUAGCUCUUAUUCUCUUACAUAUGAAAGUUUUUGGGGUUUUCUUUUCACAUACAAGUCUCCUGAUGACAAAAAGUCAGAUUAGAAGAUAACCCAGAUUUUUUUUCUUUCUUUUGAAAUAAACAUCUGCAUAAUCUUUAGUCCCUCUAACUAUACACACAGUUGUCCAGUUUGUGGUUCAUGUCUCAUUAAGGUAUUAUGCACACAUGACAAUAAAGUCUAGAGCUUCACUGUAAAUGGUCAGUAGAAUGGCAAUGGACAGAUGUUUUCUAAACAUUUGGUAGCUCAUCAACACAACUCAUGUUACUACAUGAAAGCUAAAGUUCAAUAAGAAAAUUCUGCAUUCAGCUCAGAGUAUGUUUUUGUUGCCUUGAAGCAUGGUAGACACCUUGGCAUAACGUAGCAGCACAUAAUGGUUUGUGGGUUUUGAAAAGGUGCAGGCCAUAUUGUGCUGCCUCAAAAAUACAAGGAUUUCAUCACCCUGAAGAGACAUACCACUUAUGAAUUGGUCAAUCUUGUGAUGCUGAUGUCUGUCAUACUUUAGCAGCACGUAAAUAUUGGUGUUAAGACUGUAAAUAUCUCCAGUAUUAACUGUGCUGCUGAAGUAAGGCUAGCCACUUCUGCACGCGAGUCGUGGAACAGGACAUUGCAUGUAUUCCCUGUGCCUUUUUGUUGCUAUAAAUUUAUAUAUUGUUUGUAUAUGAACACUUUCUUAGCUUUUUGUAUUUUCAUUUAUUCAGAAACUAUAUUUAGAGCUUCAUAGUAUCUGAUGGUAAAUAAAAUAGACAUAUAUAUAAUUUUGCUUUGGUUUAUGUGAAAACUGAACUUUUUAAAGGAGCCAUCUCAAGCUACACCUGUCUAACAAUGCUUUGGUAAGUGUGUUUGCUUAUAUAUUUAAAAACUAUAAAAUUAAGUUGCUUUAUUUGUCAACACAUUUAUUUAUUAAAACUCAUAAAACUGUGUUAUUUUUACAAUCUUUUCUAAAUUAGUGGAACUGGGAAUUAUUUGGUCAUGCUUUCAACAGAGAGCUCAUAAAGAAAAAGUGUCUUCCAAUUUUUUUAACAAAACUUAUUAACCACUUCAUUUCUUGAAUGACGGGGCUAUAGACAGCUAACAGUUUUAUGGUUAGAAGUUUAAACUGUGUAUCUGACUGUGAAUUUACUAAUUAUUUUUCUCAUCUUCCACUAAGAUUUUUCUCUUGCAGGAGAAUCUUUCAUUGAGAUGAUUGAAAUUGCUGCAGUGAGAAUGGAGAUUACUUGGGCUCCUUUCAUUUUAAAAGCUGCAUGCAAGAAUUGUGUGGUGAGUCAAAUGUAGACUAAUGGUUAUGUAAAUGUCACUAAUUUUAGAUACAGAUCUGAAAGUGUGUUUCCUUUUAAGAUUUUAUUUUCUUCACUAUCAUGACUCAGUAUCACUUGCUAAUCUAAUUUUAUUAGCCCUGUUGUAUUUUACCAUUUAAAAUACACAUACCUCAUUCAAAUAGGUGUUCACAGAGUCAAGUUAAUAUAUCAUAUAGAUGUUUUAAAAGGAGGAAAAAAAGCUUCUCUGCAUUCAAGAUCUGUUUUGAUUUUAGCCUUCACAGAACUGCUACUGGUGCAGUUGCACAGGUACAAACAUGAUGCAGAUGAAUAUGAAUCCGAGUUGUUAUAAUUCAUUCGUUUGCAUUAUUUGACCAUAUUGCAGAAUUUCAGACUGGUAAAAAUCACACUCUCAUUUUCUACUACUGCUAUGAAUUUGAACUGGCAAAAUUACUAAUAGAUAAGAUUUCUGAUUUAGUUCAGACCUGAGCAGUUCUCAAUAGCACAGCUAUGCAGAAUUAGCCUACAGCUUUUCAUAAAGAACAUUUGUGUGCACAUUUACCUGCUACAUUUCUCUCAAGAUACAUGACCAAAAUGAGGUUGACUACUUAAAAAAAAUAACCUGUCUGGCUCAAAGUUGGAUAGCUUUCUCAUUGAGUUUCUUUAGGUAGCACUGUGUAACUGCUAAAUAUUAAAGACCUGUACAUACACUUCAGCCAUUUGAAGACUUAGAAAUGCUUGGAAAGACCUUAAAGGUCUCUGCUUUUUUUCAUCAUGCUGCAGACAGGUGCUUGCAGGAGGCCCAUCCAUCCAGUUGCUCUUGUAGAUCUAGUAUUUUAAUGUACCCAGGAUUUUUCACAGAGACUUCCACGAGUAGAUGUGAAUCUAAAGAGCUCAUCAGAGACUUGGGAGCAUACAACAAAUAAGUCUGUUUGCAUGGCUUUGUCAAAGUCCAGUGGCCAAACUGUUUGUUCCUGACUACUUCAUUGUGCUCGUGUUGGCCUUUGUGUGAAGAGUGAAACAGACUGUGCUCCCUUCUGGUUCACCAUGCAAUCUCCUAUCACUGGCACAAGGGCAGGAAAUAGCAGGGAGCAGGAAGAAGCAGAAGGGCAAAGGUUGGAGCGCCUUGUUCGGUGGCCCUAGCAGCAUAGAAUAGUUCAGUGACAUGGUGAAAACACAGUUUGAGCAUUUGCAGAACCAGAGUUCAACUGAGGAACCAAAGUUCCUGUCUGGAUAAGAAAACUACUUCAAGUGCUUAUGAAGGCCUACUCAAAUGAUUCAGUUCCUAAACCUUUGAAAGGGAUGUUACAUUUCCCACAUGGUUCUCAGGUGGCUCAAUAUUUGCAGUUAUAUUUUCCAAAAGUUUGCCUGUAUGGGUGGUGCCAGAGACUGUGGCUGGAUCAAACUCACUUCAUGUUGCAGCUCUGGGUUCCUAAGAACUGUACCCGAUGUAAGAACGAAAGGCUCACUGUUUUCAGUUCAGGUGCUUAUUUUCCGCUAGGCUUAGGAACUGUAUGGGAGAAAGAUGCUUAAUUCACAUAAAAAGGCAAGAAAAGACAGGCCUGCUUGAAGAUAAACUGUAUAUUAGUGAAGACAACUAGUUUUAGGAGCAUGUCUAAAAGUGCGUUGUUAAAAGGUUGGAGCUGAGAACAGAUAAAGAAAGGACAGAUCUGAUGAACUAGAAAAUCAGAAGGAUUGAAAUACGCUGGGCAAAGAUUUGGGGAUUUGUUUGUUUAUUGAAAUUUGUAGAAGCAGCAGCCUGACAGAGGGGAAUUGGCUUGAGGCAUAGAGAACAAGUCAGGCUUAGGGAAAGAGACUUGCACUCCUCAGAUGAUUCCUAACAUUCACUGGAGUGCUCUGCACUUCACAUCCAAAAGGGAAUACUGACUGGUAAGUAGUAGCUUUUGCUGUCAUAUGGGAAAUCACUGUCAAUUUUACCCUUCUCAUUGUAUUCCCCAGAGAAGAGGGUAAGCCUAUUAGUACCCUCAGCUACUUCAUGGAUUUUGGUCCUGAAAAGAAAUCUCAAAGAGUAGAGGUUGUAAGGGAGAUCUCUAGUUCAAACAGGGUACUUUCUUUAAGGCUAUAUCCAGUCAAUUUUGAAUAUAUUCAAGGAUGGAGACUCUGCAGCCUGUCCUGUUCAGUUAGAAUUUCACGCACUUUGUUUCUUACCUGUGGCCUCUUGUCCUAUUUCUGGACAGAGAAGAGCCUGGCUAUGUCUUCCUUACUCUGCUGUACCCCUACCAGCAGGCAUUUAGAAACAUUGCUGAGAUCACACAAACACAAGCCCUUUCUUCUCCAGACUGGAGUCUCAGCUCACUCAGCCUUUCUUCAUGUGAAAGAUUCUUCAGUUCUCUCAUCGUCUUUGUGGGAGUAAAUAAAAUGCUUCGUCUAAUAAGGGGAAUUAGAAUUCAAAGGAGGAAAUGUUUUUUUUUGAGAGGGGGGAAAAAAACAAAGCACAAGCUAAUAACUGUAUAAAGAACAAGAAGAUCACAAAAUGAAACAUUAAGAAGUUAGAUAACUCCUGCUUUAAGAUUCUGCAAUCUUCAUUUGCCCCCUUGUGUCAGUGUACUAUGAAGCAAUCUUUGUGAUCGCACAGAAUGUUUCAUCUAUUGAUAGGGUCAGCCUGUGGUGCUGGGCGGGGGAGGAUGCCUGUGGGCUGUGCAAGCAAGAAGCCUGAUGUUGCUAUAGGUGCUGCAGAAAUUAGUAAAAAAUUCUCUAGGCAAUGGAACAAAUGGCUGCAAGUAGAGAAAACCAUGUCUUCAUGGUUAUGUCAAGUGAGAAUUCCUAAGAAUUGGAUGUGAUGUUUAUUUUUGUGCCUUUAUUCUCAUGUGAUGCUGGACAACCAGGCCAUUGUUUCUGUAGUGUGUAUAUUGUGCUUCACUUUAGAGGUGUCUGAUUUAAAACUCACAUCUGAAAGAAAGACUGGUGGUUCACAUUGGUAACUGAGCUUCUUAGGAGUUGUCAUUUGAAUUAAAAUACUCUGUGAAGUUAUGUCUGCUGACAGUCUCCUGUCUUCUUAAAGAGAACUUCAAACUGUUGCAUACUCUGAUAGUUUUUACACCUCCAUGUCACAUUUAAAGUAGGGGUAAUGGACACAUACCUUGAAGGGCUGUUAGCUAAUUUUGUUUAGUAGCUGUACUACAGUAAUACAUUGCCUUAUGGAAUUUUGUAUGGCAUUUAUUAAUUCUGAUUUCAGAGGAAGAGGUGAGUACUAUGCAUCUUUUAAAGACCAGAUCUGCAAUCAACUUUCCUUGUUACCAGCUCAGGCUGGGAAGCAGAGUUUCUGUUCUGUUUAUUCACAGUCUAUUUCUGCAGUCCUGUGAACUCCAAAAUACUCUGAUUUGCGUCCUGUUGUGUCACUGAUUCAUUUUGCAAAUAUAACUCAUUAUUAAACACCUGUGUGCCAUUUUUUGCUUGUCAUUUUUGUAAAUAACAUCAUCAACAUUGUGCAAAAUGUUCUAUGUAGUAAAGGUAAUGUACAUGUUUGAACUUCAGCAUAUUUGACAAUAAAUUUACCUGUGAAGAUCUAUUUUACAGAAAGAAUGAGCUAUUUAAAUUGCAACAAUUUCUUAAUGUAUAGCAGUAAGCACUGCAUCUCUAAAAACAUGAAGUUACUUAUACCUAAGUAUUUAGGACUUCAACCACCAUUUUCUUCAAAUUUCAAAGGCAGUUUUCUUGGUACUGCCUAUGGCACGCUUUGGUAAAUGAGAGUGUACUAGAAAUUUGGAUACAGUGAUCUGAAAAUGUUUCAACUUUUGCCUUAGUCAUGGUGUCUUGAGAAUUGGGGAAAAUCUCUUCUAAUCAGGUAGCCACAUUAGCAGUCAUGGUUGAAUCUGAAGUGAUGAGACUCCCUUUAUCUGUAUCGCAACCUAUUGUCACAAGAAAUGAUAGAAAUAUCCCCAAAGUGGUGAGCUGCUAUUGUACCAGUUUAGCAGCAGCAGCAAUUGUUCAAGUAAAAAACAAAUAAAAUAUUUAAAAUGUAUUUGAAGGAAAACUUAUGUCUGAAAUAUAUGUGACUCUUCUUUCUAAGGUGGCAAUUGUAAGUGUAUCACAAUAAAAUAUUUAACUAUAAAUAGAAAUAAGAAAAAGUGAUGGAAAAAUGCAAUAACAUGAGUGACAUAUGUUCAUCUUUCUGUGAGCUGGAUAAUAAUCAUCUGAGUGCUUAUUUUUUACUUUAAAUAGUUUAUUUCUAUUAGAAGCUAUUUAAUGGUCAUCAAGUGCAACUCUUUUUUUUUCCCAUGUUUUAUUCACUUAUAAUUAAUAGCUCUGUUAAUAAAUAAAUUUCUUAUUGCUUCUGCCUCUUAAUAUAAAAUUUCAACUUUUAUGUUCAAAAGUUCUGAAAUUACAUAUUAAUUGUAGCAGCAUUUAUCUAGUUUGUAUCUUCAGUCUAAAGUUUACAGUGCAUAGUAGGUGAAGGCUUAGUUUCUCUUGAGAGAUAGGAAUAAUAUAUCCAUGGUGUUUUCUUCUGUUGUUUAUAGCCAUAGGAGUCAGACAUGAAUAGAAAGCUUCUCAUUUCCCUGCGUUUCUGCAGGGCAAGUGUGUGGCUUUAUUGCCCAUAAAAGAACCUUCUGUUAGCAGGUUUUAUAUUUUUAAGCAGUUUUAAAAGUAAAACAUUUUGGAAUCUCUCAACAAAUACUCAAAAAAGCCUUAAAUAUUAUAACAUUUGAAGUAUAUAAGGCAUAAAUUAUAGCAUAGAUAAUCUCAAAUGUAUGAAUUUUUAUGUUUUAUUGAAAUAAAGGCAAAGGAAGAGCUUUAGGGGUUAUAUUAUUUGACCAGCUAGAAUAGUCAACAAUAAUAUAAGACUAUGAUUCUACAGCCUCGUGAUUCUUGAGCCAGACAAGUUUGAGAAUGAGUUUUCUUGUUUCCUUUAUUAUUACCCUGGCUCUCAUAUGUCUUUGGUGGUUUCACUGAAUGACUUUAGGUUCAUUUUUGGUAAGCUCAGCCAGCUGAAGCUGCUCGCUCUAAGCAACAGUGCCAGCACAGAGGAAAAUACCCUUCACUCCUGAGACUGGCACUCCAGUUUUAAAGUCCAUUUACGUUGCUUAAAUCACUGUAAGGAAUAUUCAGGGCCUAGUUCUUCCUUUUUUGACACUACUACAGACAGACUUUGCCUAUCUGCUCUUUAAAUCAAUAUCAAAGAGUCUAACACCAGUUUGGUUUAUCUCUUUUCUUGUACAGAAGAUUAGUAUCAACAUAUGAAACCAGCACAAAAAUGCUCAUAUAGAUAUGGCUUCUUAGCAUCUGGAAGCAGCUGUGAUAUGCCUUUCCUAUUAUCAAGACAAUGUAUGGCCAAGGUUAUAAUGGCUCAUCUUCAUUUAAGGAAUUGGAGUUGUGACUGAAAACCCAUAGCUGCAACAGUGCAAAGGAAACUGAUGUGACAAUUAGUUUUCUACCACAGCACAGAAGACGAGUAUGAUGCUAAGAAAGCCAGAGUGCUGGAGGACUUUUUCUCACUCUUAGAACACAUUAAAAAAAUCAGUGAUCAGAUGUCUUGGAGCAGCUGGCAGAAACAAGAGGGUAAGGCUACAUGCUGUGAUUGAAAAGGGGAAAUGGGAAAUAGGGGAACAGAAAAAACUGGUUUAAAAUUGUCACAACUUGCUAAAAUCCCUCAGAAAAGUUUUAAGAAACUAGCUGAAACAAUCUCAAGGCAAGGGGACUCUUCCACAAAACAGAGAACCUGAGUUUCAGAAGCCUGAGGAGAUUCAAGUUCACAUCUCCUGCUUCUGAAAAAAUACCCAGUGGAAGUUGCCCACAGAUGUUCCCCAUCUUUCCUGUUAAAUAAAGGAUCUGUGCAAAAAAGUCACAAAACUAUUUUGUUCAAAGGUUGUUGGCAGUGGUAACUAUUGCUGUUAGCAGAUGAAAGCAAGCUGCAGGUAGGAUUUCAAAGGGUAGUGGAAUUUGCUUUUAUUGGACUAACUGUGCAGUUCCUUGCAUGUUCCAUAUUCUUUUCCUAAGAUGUUUCCUGAAGUAAUGAUAAAGUCAGCAUACAAUAAAUAUAAGUAUCCAUUAAAGCACACUAAAGGAAUACCUUAUGUUUCCAGUAGAUUAACACUGAGAUAAUGAAGUAUUUGUGAAUUGCAUCACAGUCCUUUAUUAUGGUCGAUUCUGGAUUUCAUUGCUGAAGAGAGGACCAGUACAGGUGACUGUAACUGCUUUAUUCUCCUGCAUUCUCUAAAUCUGCUAAAGAUGAAAAGCAGGCAGUAGCAUUAAAGAACUUCAUGGCUGUUCAGCAACCAGCAAGGGGACUCACAUCUUCCCUCCUGCAGUCUACCCUCAAACUGCUUUCUUUCUGUGUUUGAAGCGGCUUUUUGAGUCUGGGUUUCAGAGGUGUUUUGGUUUGGAGAGUUUACAAUCCCCCUCAUAAAUUAGCAGCAUAAAUAAGAGCCUGUUCUAGGUUGAAGAAGAUUCAAAUAACUUAUCCUGUUCAGAAAAAUUAAAAUAUUCUUCCUCUUCUGAGGAGCGGUUACUCCAUUCCCAAAUUAGGAUUGAACUUCAGGACUUUCUCAUGGCUCUUGGAGUAUCUUCAAUCUUUAGUUUGUUUAAGUAAUUCUUAAACAAUACAGAUAACUUGCAGAGUUGUUACAUUGUGAUCCCAUUAUUUUAUGCUUAUUCAGGCAUAAGGUGAGUAGCCUAAAAAACCCACUACUUUUUGCUAUGAAUAUAUCUCAGUUUCCUCUAAAAUUGCAGUGGACAUUUUCAAUUGUAAUUGACAGAAUCCUAAUUUUAUCUCGUUUUUUUUUAUGUUUACUGCAUGAUUCUUUUAAAAACAGCACCCGGUCCUGGUGAUUUAUGGUGUUUUUUAUUUCUCAGGCUUUCAAUAGGCUCUUCUUUUGAGACAUCUAGGCCUAGGGAAACUACUGUGAAUCCCCAUAAGGCACAUCCUUGAGAUAGGAAUUUCUCUGUCACCCUUCAUGUUAGAACCAAAUAAUUUAUAUUGAACUUCUUUACCUGUGACACCUUCUUUCAUCUGCCUCUGGAUAUUACAUAGACAAAACUAAAAAAAUAUCCUCCUGAAUUCUAACACCUUUAAGAAUACUUGUAAUUCUUCUCUGUGUGUGGGGGGGGGUGUGUGUCUGGGGGUGCUGCAACCAGCCAUUGGUACCCAUGAGUACCAAUAGAGCAGAACAUUUUUCGGCAGCACCUGUGAAAGCAAUAACUGCAUUUCUUUGUUCAAGAGUAGUGUUAAACCAUCCCCUCAUGCUUCAGGCUGCCAGUGGCAACAGAGAGCUUUUCAUUAGCUAAUGAUAGUGGUAAUUUUUUUUUCACUUCAUUAGUUUUUUUUCUUACUUUGUUAUUUGUUUAUAUUAACACUUCAAUAACUGUUAAGAUGUGGUUUAGUUAAGAAACCAUAGCAUCUCUGUUUUGUUGGGUUUGAGUUUUUUUCUGCUUUGGUAGGAGAAAUUGCUUCAGCCUAGGAAGAAUUCCAUGUCUGCACAUACCCCAUGAAUGAGAAUGACCUCCCUAGCACUCAGACAUUUGCUGUGUAAUGUUGUGGUGUCAUUAAAGACUGUCUACAUAAGAUACACUUUACUUGAGCUGAUGAGCAUCACAUGUGUCUUCUAAGAAGGCUGAGCAAGCGAAACAUCUUGCCUCAAGAUGUCACAAGUGAUACAGGCACCUGGCCUCUGGUUCUAGUUUGCCUGAGCAGAAACACUUGAGAAAGACCAGAGCUCUUUUGCUUUUCUAACUUCUUGUCCUAGACUGUCAGCAAGUCUCCUAACAUGGCUAGACCUUGAUUAGAUGGAGACAAGGAACAGAACAUUUGCAAAACAGAUCCUGAUUUUAUCCUACAUAAAUUCUUCUGAAGCACAGUUCAGACCUUGGAACACCAGGUAUCACCAGUCCAAUCAGAGCUGGAAUUUUCAUGAUACAGUGGUCUAUAGUACUUGGAUUCCUUGGCAGCCAUAAUUCUAGAGAAAUGAUCAGUAACAAUGUAGCACCAAAAUUAUAGCAAGGUUGAAUCACUUUUGAAUACUUGAGCUUCAUCAGAGAAAUCAAGCUCCUUACUGUCAAAUCAGGCUCAGAAUCACCCCUCAUAAACUUUAAUGGGUGUCUGGCCUUUAGUGUUGACUCAAACAUUCUCUAUUCUGCUGUAGUCAGAGAUCAUUUUUUACAAGCUUCCAGCAUCCUGUAGGACUAGUUCCAUAUAAAAUACUCCUGUGCCUAGUCAGAACCAGAAGACUGAAAGGUUCUGUACACUUCUGUUUAGCUGGACAUCCUACACCAACAGAAGUAGGUGUGGUUCACACUAGGGCAGCUUAUAGAGAUGGGAACUUCCUGUAUCUUUCAGCAUCUCACAGAUUCAAAAGCGUUAAGGUUGGAAAAGACCUCCAGGAUCUCUAGUCCAACCAUUAACCCAGCACCACCAUGCUCACCAAGAAACCCAAGUGCCACUCCCACAUGCCUUUUGAGCUUUCCAAGGGAUGGUGAUUUCACCACCUUCCUGGGCAACCUGUUCCAAUGCCUAACCACCCUUUCAGUGAAGAAAGUUUUCCUAGUAUCCAAUCUAAACCUACACUAGCACAACUUGAGGCCAUUUCCACUCAUCUUGUCACUUACCUGGGAGAAAAGACUGACACCCUGGGUGACUGACUGACACCUUGCUACAACAUCCUUUUAGGUAAUUGCAGAGAACUUGUUUGUUGUUCCAGGUAACAAGCAACAGGAUGCAAGGAAAUGGCCUCAAACUGUACCAGGGGAGGUUUAGGUUGGACAUUGGGACGAAUUUCUUCUCAGAAAGGGUGGUUAGAUAUUGAAUGGGCUGCCCAGGGCAGUGGUGGAGUCACCAUCCCUCGAGGUGUUUAAGAAAAGAUUGGAUGUGGCACUUGGUGCCAUGAUUCAGUUGACAAGGUAGUGUUCAGUUGGUCAUAGGCUGGAUUUGAUCUCAGAGGUCUUUCCCAAGCUAUGUGAUUGAUUCUGUGAAAGCUGCUUCCAAUGACAGCAAAUAUUGACACUUAGAGCAAAAAGGUGCUGAAGUUUUAUCUCUUCUGCAGAAUGAAUUACCUUUUGAAAAUGAAGGUCUCUAGAGUAUUAUUAGUUAAUAUUGCAAAUGCUAAUUUGAAAUGGUAAGCAUUGCCACAGACAUCUAGAAAGGAAUUUAGAUAUGGUGCAGUAGUGACAUUUCCAGAGACAGACAUCUUGAUAAAAAGUAUUUGUGGGUUUUCUGAAACACAAUUACCUAUUCAAUUCUUUGCAUUUUCUUUGUAUAGACAGAGUUGUACACACUCUUCCUAGAUCCCCAAGACAAGUAAACACCAGUUGCCAACUACAGGCAUCACAAGAACAUAGGCUUUCCAAGCCUGCAGGCCUACAUGCCCUCCAGCAGCACAAGACUUAAAGGGAUUAAAAAAAAAAAAAAAAAAAAAAAAAAAAAAAAAAAAAAAAAAAGGCAACUUCCUUGUGUGUUGCAGUUCACCUGCUUCUUUCAUCCAUGUGGCAGUGUCUGACUGUUUGCACCAGAACAUUUGGAAUGUUUUUAAAGUUGUACCUCUUCCUUUCAAGCACUGAAAUGGUUUUAUAAUGAGUUAAAACCUACCGUCACUGAGAUUUGUGUGUUCUAUUUUAGUCACUCAUUGACUCCUUUUGUCACAAGGUCACAAGGUGUUUUAUGAGAGCAUGUUAGAUCAUUGGUAGCAUUGCUUCUUUUCCUAUGGAAAAGAGAUUCCCUUUUUAUCUCUUAAAAUGGGAUGGGGAAAGGUGGUAGUGAUCCAAUUCCAGUACAGUAUUCACUUAGGCUGUCCCAGAUCUCCAGAAAUGUAAAUACGGACAGCUGAAAGAUCGGAUACAGAGAAAUGUUUUCAACAGCAGUUUAUCACUACCAAGUUAGAAAGCCCUGAGAGCUCUGAGCUUUCGAAACAGUUAUUUCCACACUGUUACCCACCCUGCCUGAAGGAACUGUGUCAUCUUUCUAGCAGGCGUCAUUGCCUCCAGUAUAAGACCUGUGUGCUUGUCACUGCCUGUUUCAGAAAACAAAAACCCACAUAUGCAUGUAUGUCCUGAACACUCCGUAAGUGAUCUAAGAACUGUCAUUACAUCCUUCACUCAUGGCUUUGUCUUGGUCCUGAAGGUAGACAAGAAGUCAGCAUAGAUCCCUGCACAGAACAGAGAUUAUCCAAACCAUAGCAGAAUGAUGUUCCAUUUGCCUUCUGUGACUUCACAUAACAUUCAGCUUUUCAAUUCAAUCUCAGAGCCUACCUCAGAAGUUCAUUGAGAGCAUGGAUCAUGGGUCAGAGGGUGGUGAGGCACUGGCACAGGUUGUCCAGAGAAGCUGUGGAAGCCCCAUCCCUGGAAUUGUUCAAGAGCAGAUUGAAUGGGGCUUGAAGCAACCUGGUGUAGUGGAACGUGUCCCUGCCCAUAGCAGAGGGGUUGGAACCAGAUAGUCUUUAAGGUUCCUUCCAACCCAAACUAUUCUGUGGUUCUAGGGGUCAGACUUUCAAUAGCUUAGCACAAGACACUCUUAUAGCACAGCUUAUGAGGGCACACUAUAGCCAAAAGAGGAGUUGGUCAAAUUUUCCUGUGCCUGCCUGGGCGUUUUCCAGCAGGGAGUCUCCAAAAAAAAAGAAUCUUGCAAAAGGAUCAUCAUUUUCCCAUCAUUUUUCCAACAUGUAUUCGUAGAGAUUUUGGGACUGUAUAUGGACAAUGAAGUCUAGAUUGCACUAUCACACUUCAAUUGUCAAAGCUUAUCAAAUAGGAGCAGGAAGCAGUUUUAGCCUAACCAAUGAUGGAAGAAGCUUCUGUUACAUCAGGGAGCAUGCAGAUACAAUGUUUUCCUUACAUUCUUGACAUGGCCAUAUUUAAGCUAUUGAUGUGUUCUCGAGAUCCAUGGUUUACUGAGCCAUCUUCAGAAGAUAAUGCUUUGAAUAACUAUAGGUAGCAAA